rnacentral:tRNA from 1 species
GCUCCUGUCAUCCAACGGUUAGGAUACCCGUCUUAUGAGCGGGCAAUCCGGGUUCGAUUCCCGGCGGGAGUA